rnacentral:rRNA from 1 species
AUUGAACGCUGGCGGCAGGCCUAACACAUGCAAGUCGAGCGAGCGGCGGACGGGUGAGGAAUGUCGGGGAAACUGCCUGAUGGAGGGGGAUAACUACUGGAAACGGUAGCUAAUACCGCAUACCAUCAGAUGUUCCCAGAUGGGAUUAGCUAGUAGGUGGGGUAACGGCCCACCAAGGCGACGAUCCCUAGCUGGUCUGCGAGGAUGACCAGCCACACUUGAACUGAGACACGUACCAGACUCCUACGGGAGGCAGCAGGGGGGAAUAUUGCACAAUGGGCGAAAGCCUGAGGCAGCCAUGCCGCGUGUGGGAAGAAGGCCUUCGGGUUGUAAAGCACUUUCAGCGGGGAGGCGUUACCCGCAGAAGAAGCACCGGCUAACUCCGUGCCAGCAGCCGCGGUAAUAC